GUGGGCGUAGCUCAGUUGGUAGAGCCCCGGAUUGUGAUUCCGGUGGUCGUGGGUUCGAGCCCCAUCGCUCGCCCCA
rnacentral:tRNA from 1 species